UAAAUAGAGGACAUCAAUCAGAGUAAAUAGGGAAGAGAAUUUCUUAGCAACGAUGAUAGGCAGCUAACGCGGAGGGGGACCGAGGGAUUCGCCGGCAUAAGCGACCAACCAGAUAUUGUUAAAGGCACCCUCUAUAUCCAGAAAAGUCCCCACCGCAUAGCCACCCUCCAUGAGAUCUCUCUCAAUUUGGGAGACCAGAGAGUGGAGCGCCGUUUCGGUAGAGAAGCCCCUUCUUAAGCAUGUUGGUUUCCAUGUAGCAAAUACCGCCCGAGAACAACAUCUCACAGAUAAAUCUCAACCAGCUUCUCUAACGUUUUCAAAAGAAAUGAGGUUAGUUUGAUCGGACUGAAGUCCUUGGCAGAGGUGCAGCAGCUCCUGCCGACUUUGGGUAUGAAUACUACCUUCGCCAGCCUCCAUGCCUUGGAGGUGUAUCCCAAAGCAAGACAAGCUCUCAAAGUCCGCGUGAGCAGCCCGCUAAUCUGCACGAGCCCCUCUUGUAGGAGCGUCAAAAAAUUUCCAUCUGGUCCAGCGGACUUGAAUGGUUUGAAAGUUUUGAUGAUCCACUUUACCAUCUCGGGUUUUACAAUGCUGGCCGCCAGUUCCCAGUCACACCCGUGUGUCCUUAGUCUGGGCUCCACGGUCUAAGCGUCAGGAUCGACAUCAAGUUCCCUCCUGAAGCCCGAAAAAUUGAUCUCCAAAAGAUGAACCAGACAUCGUUCACCGGAAAGCACGUCCCCAUCCGGGAGGCGUAUCGCCUGCAGGUUUGAGUCCGGGUUUCUUGCCAGAAUUCUGCAGAGCCUGGAGGCCUCCGGAACCUCCUCUAUAGAUUCAUAGAACCUCCUCCAGCUUUUUCUCUUGGCGGCUACUACAGAGUCCCUAUAUGUUUUCUAGGCCCUCCGAUAGAGGUCCCAGUCGAGUGUAGACAGGGAAUAUAUAUUCGCAAUUUUGUGGAAAAGAGUGAAUAUCGGGCCAACUCAAUCAUUAAUUAUGCUCGAUUUACCAGUCUUGUAAUUAAUAUUUAAUUAAGCGAGUUGCGAGGAGAACGAAAUCAUCGAAUUUCGUGGAAAAGCGGCUGAUUAGCAUCGAGGCAGUAAUCGGAUACGAAUAACAGAGUACGGACAAAGAAAACUACGCAGCAGUGUCGAAUUACAUCAAACCAUCGGUCAUCUUGCUGACGCAUCACGAGCAAAAGGAAGCCGACACAGUGGCUUGGGUAAUAAAUUCCUUGUUCAUUGAUGGUCAAACGAACUGGCGAUUAAUUUAAGCAGACCGCUUCAAAAACGAUACAAUGCGCGGACAACGCAAUCGAGGCCACGAUCGCCGUGAAAGAGCGCGGCGGAUAGUCGUGCGCGUGAAAAUAAAUAUAAGCGCUAUGUGGUUCGUGUGCGCGAGUUGCGCUAUAGCGCGGACAACGGAGCCGUGAUUAUAAUUGAGCUCAAGAAUCAAUAAUCAGUAAACAGCGGUGGUUUGACGUAAGAUAGAUUAAAUGGGGGCGAGCAUUCUCGCCGUACAAGAAAUGUUUAUAGAUAUAAAAGAAACAAGCAGCGGUUAUUUAGCGCGUGCUGCGAUAACAUGAACGGCGGUGCCAUAUAUGCAGCGGGUACAGGACAUCGGUAGAAAGUGACGCGUCGCAUAUUUCCAGAUGUUUGGUGAGAAACGUCUAUGCGCGGAAUUAGGACAGUCAGCGGAGUCAAGAAUACUCGGUUAACUCGCUAUCCCUUUGUCCAGCGGCUGGGAUGAUCGAAUAUUAUGACCGUAAUGCUCGAGAAUUUUUUAGAAGAGCGGAGCGGCAAACUCUCCGCUUUCGUUCGAUAUGGCGGGAUUACAAGAAUUUGCAGUCAAAACGGAUGUCGAGAAUGUUUGACGGAGAGUCGAGCGGAUGUCGAGAAUGCUUGUUAACCUCCUUUUUCCUUCUUUUUUCCGUUCUAUUUGAAUGAUAGGAUCGAUUCCUGUAUUUAUUCUCGUACGUACUGCUCGAGCGGAGUCAGAUACUGUUCUGGUGCUGAGAUGAAAUCUAUCAGCCUUUUUGUAUCCAAUAAUUAAUGGUAUUCGUGUCAUUUAUUUUUCGGUGAUGAGAGAACGGCGCGAGAUUUCGGCGUGCAGCACUCGGCGCCGUUCAGAUUUUGGCACGAGCUAUAUCGGUAAUCAUAUAACGGCCGUAAGGUAAAAGUACCCAUUGCCGGACAUGUUCCUAUAUCCGGACAUUUACAUGAAAAUUUAUCAUUAUUAACUUCAAAUGAAUUUUUAUUAUAAUAUCAAAAUUUUAUCUCAAAUUUUUAAUUUAAAGAUAUUUAUAUAGUAAAACAUUUAUUAAAUAUUAUAAAAAUUGACGUC